rnacentral:rRNA from 1 species
AGCGAACGCUGGCGGCAUGCCUUACACAUGCAAGUCGAGCGGCAGCGCGGGGGCAACCCUGGCGGCGAGCGGCGGACGGGUGAGUAAUACAUCGGAACGUGUCCUUUCGUGGGGGAUAACCAGUCGAAAGACUGGCUAAUACCGCAUGAGAUCUCACGAUGAAAGCGGGGGACCGCAAGGCCUCGCGCGAUUGGAGCGGCCGAUGUCGGAUUAGCUAGUUGGCGGGGUAAGAGCCCACCAAGGCGACGAUCCGUAGCUGGUUUGAGAGAACGACCGGCCACACUGGGACUGAGACACGGCCCAGACUCCUACGGGAGGCAGCAGUGGGGAAUUUUGGACAAUGGGCGCAAGCCUGAUCCAGCCAUGCCGCGUGUGUGAAGAAGGCCUUCGGGUUGUAAAGCACUUUCGGCCGGAACGAAAUCGCGCGGGCGAACAUCCCACGUGGAUGACGGUACCGGAAGAAGAAGCACCGGCUAACUACGUGCCAGCAGCCGCGGUAAUAC